UUACCCAUGGUAAUUCUGAAAAACACAUUUAUAAUUGUUUAUAAACUGCAAAGAAUGUUUCUUCUUCUUCGCUGAUGAAUGCUGUUUGAAAAGUUUUUUGUAUCACUUACACAUGCAAGUUGAUCAAGUAUGUAAUAAAACAAACUUCUUUCAGGGUCCAAUAGAUCUUCUGUUUGCUAUUCAUUAAUGCUGUAAUUAUUUGUUGUUACAUGUGCAAGCACUGCUUACUACUUCCAGCUUACCAUAUACUAUGGAUACCAUUUUCUGCCUUUCACUAAUACACACAAGCUAAUUAGCCACCCUGUUUGUUUAUGUUAUCCUCUAUCUGCUGUCGCAACCUUUUACAAUGAUCUCCUUACCUAUUCAACACAGACGAACCACUAUGUCGGAAGCACAAUAAGCGAUACAAGUAUAUUUAUCGCCCAUGCAAAGCAAGCUCAAUCCAAAAGUUCAAAGGCAAGAAAAUCCAUCUAAGGCCUGGAAAGUCCAUUCUCCGUGGUAAGAACUACAUUAUUCUUCCCAUUCCAUCAGCUCUCGCAACAGCUACUGAAAAGUAUAAUUUUGUGCAAUUUAACAUAGGUGAGCCUUGCAAUCACUACUUAGAUGAGUUUAGUCGCCACGUUGUGUGGGGCAACACAGUUAGGCUCUACAACCAUAAUGUUCGUGCACUACGAAAGAUCAUCCGCAGCACCACCACGCCUAAUAACUACUAUGUGUGCCACAUGACAUAAACAUUUGCAACACAAGGCAAAAGAAUGUACUUUAAUGUCCACUUUUCUACGGGUUCCCUUUUCCCACACAUGGAUGCUGACCACGGUGAACUUCCAAUCACAACUGGAGAUGGAACAACCACCGUCACGGCCUGCUUUAUCAAGGGAGUUGCCAAAAAGGCCACCAUCACUAAAGGCUGGAGCGACUUCUUCCAUCGGACCCACAUGAACGAAGGGAAAGCAUAUGCUUUCGGCUUCAAAUGCACUUCCAAGGGAUUGUGCCUGAUUGUCUACUCAAUAUAAGCAAGCUGUAGGAGCCCCUUGCUAUAUAACAUAGUAUUAGUAUAAAUGCCUACAAAGACAUCUAUGUUUAUCCUCCUUUUCGAUCUUAUGUAAUCCCCUAAGACAGUGUUGUGCAUUUAGCUAUCGAUUAUCCGCUACUUAGACUGCUCUAUCGCAUGCUUUUGAAACAACCAUGAUAAAGGAAAUAUAUGCUCCUUCAAGUGCAUA